AUAAUAUGCUUAUGUAUUUCUAGAAACUGAUGUAUAAAGGCUUCCUGGGAGUGAAAUGGUUCUUUCAGAAUGGCUUUUGGAUGAUACAUAUAUCUCUGAUGACAUAGAGAAACAUGCACUGCCUCAGUUGGGAUUAGAGGAUCUGAGCAGUGGCUGGCCACUCCAAUCACCAUGCUGUGCUGCCUUCUUCCAAGCCCCAUCUCACCAGAUCAUAUGGUCACAGCAGAAGGGCAUGUUUUCACACUGA
rnacentral:lncRNA from 1 species